rnacentral:rRNA from 1 species
GAUGAACGCUAGCUAUAGGCUUAACACAUGCAAGUCGAGGGGAAACGGCAUUAUGUGCUUGCACAUUUUGGACGUCGACCGGCGCACGGGUGAGUAUCGCGUAUCCAACCUUCCCUCCACUCGGGGAUACCCCGUUGAAAGACGGCCUAAUACCCGAUGUUGUCCACAUAUGGCAUCUGACGUGGACCAAAGAUUCAUCGGUGGAGGAUGGGGAUGCGUCUGAUUAGCUUGUUGGUGCGGGUAACGGCCCACCAAGGCUACGAUCAGUAGGGGUUCUGAGAGGAAGGUCCCCCACAUUGGAACUGAGACACGGUCCAAACUCCUACGGGAGGCAGCAGUGAGGAAUAUUGGUCAAUGGACGUAAGUCUGAACCAGCCAAGUAGCGUGCAGGAUUGACGGCCCUAUGGGUUGUAAACUGCUUUUGUUGGGGAGUAAAGUGGGCACGCGUGCCUUUUUGCAUUUACCCUUCGAAUAAGGACGGUAUCCUUCU